rnacentral:misc_RNA from 1 species
AUCGUCUUUUAGGAGAUUUU